UUCCUUGGUCAUACCACUGAACAUAACAGAAGCUAAGUUAGCAGGCCAGGCCUGGUUAGUACUUGGAUGGGAGACUGCUAGAGAAUAACUGGUACUACUGCCU
rnacentral:rRNA from 1 species